rnacentral:rRNA from 1 species
UAGAGGAUGUUUUGGGCACCGCUGUGGGUUAAAUUUCUUGGAACAGAAUGUCAAAGAGGGUGAGAGUCCCGUCUUGGCCCGCGGUAGGACCUAUGUAAAACUCCUUCGACGAGUCGACUUGUUUGGGAAUGCAGGUCAAAAUGGGUGGUAAAUUUCAUCUAAAGCUAAAUAUUGGCCAGAGACCGAUAGCGCACAAGUAGAGUGAUCGAAAGAUGAAAAGCACUUUGAAAAGAGAGUUAAACAGUAUGUGAAAUUGUUGAAAGGGAAGCGCUGGCAACCAGACUCGAGCGCGGAGUUCCCCCUGGCUUCUGCGUGGGUUAUUUCACCGUGACCGGGCCAUCAUCAGUUUUGAGGGCUGGUUAAAGACCCAGGGAAUGUAUCCUCUCCUUCGGGGGAGGACUUAUAGCCCCGGGUGUCAUGCAGCCUCUCGGGACUGAGGAACGCGCUUCGGCGAGGAUGAUGGCGUAAUGGUUGUCAGCGACCCGUCUUGAA